UCGGUAGUAUAGUGGUCAGUAUC
rnacentral:piRNA from 1 species